rnacentral:lncRNA from 1 species
GACUUCCAUGUUUCCGCGGCAACGGGAGGAUGUAGUCUGAUUUCUGCCAGCAUGCCUCUGUCCCCUGGCCUCAGGAACACUGUGGGACCUUUGCGGGGCAGAGGUGGAACUUAGCUGAAGAGGGGGCCUCACAGAGGGGAAGGGCAGCACCAGACAGAGAAGGACAGAGAAACCGACUUCCGAAGUCCCAGCUCCUGAUUUCCACUGGCAUAGUUUAUUGGCAUAUCAGAGAUCUCCCCCAGCUUUUGAAGGAAGAGAAUAUGGCUGGAUUUCCCCCACCUAUAGGAAGCAUGACUCUGAUGAAGACCCCCAAGGGAUGUGUGGGGAGAUGGGUGGAGAUGGAUGGCUCUUCUGACCUCUUUGAGACACCCCUCCUCCACACCCAGGAAGUUCUGGGGGAGGAACUCCAGGAACUCUUGAGGAGGUUUUUCUUUAUAGCAUUUUUUUUUUCCCUUGGUAGAUUGACUGGGAAUGACAGGCUGCAGCAGAAAGAUGGUGGCUCUGGCUUUGGAAUGAAUUUCCCCUAAAUCAGUGUUUCUCAGACAUUCCCAUAAAAGGUGCCACCACCUUGGAUAAACCCAAUGGAGUUCGCCGCAAACAUGAGAUUUCUAAGCCUUUCUCAGCACACUUACGACUAUAUCCGAAAUGGCCAGCUGCAGUUCGAAGGCACACAAGGAGGGGAGAAUUAUGGACGAGAGUUCAGACAAACAGUGGUGUCCACCGCAGGUACAUUGGAGAAGAAAAUCAUGGCAUCAUUUUCUUUGGUACAGUUCAUCACACGGACCUGUCCCUUUGCGCAAAGUCCACUGAAACUGUCUGAAUCAGAAGUUUGUGUGAGGAGCAAGAACUCAGAGCCUGCAGUGUGGGCAUGGCCCAUUCAAUCAGACAGUGGGGAUUCAGGGAUACCCUGAGCUGGACCUGUUUCAUACCUGACCAACAAAACCCCUGGACCAGCGAUGUACUGGUAGAAGAUUCGGAAAGGAAGAGCUGAUUUGUGAAAUUUGCCAAUUUCCAUAGUGUAAAUACUGCCACCACAGCUAAUUUCAAGCUACCAACUUGAAGUGAUAUCAUUGAACACAGUUGGGUAAAGCACCCAGUAUGCUUUCCUGAGCCAGCACAAGCUGGUUCUAGCAUGUGACUCUCCUGGGUGGAUCUGGGGUUGACUUUGCCGAAGGUGGCUUCCUGAAAUUUCACUUUUUCUUCUUUUUAAGUUACACUUUUCUCCCCCUCUAAUUGCAAAAUGCCUUUUAUAAGACAUUGGAAUAAAGAGAGACAAAAAGAGAGAGAAAGAAAAGAA